UACGUAGGUGGCAAGCGUUGUCCGGAAUUAUUGGGCGUAAAGCGCGCGCAGGCGGUCCCUUAAGUCUGAUGUGAAAGCCCACGGCUCAACCGUGGAGGGUCAUUGGAAACUGGGGGACUUGAGUGCAGAAGAGGAAAGUGGAAUUCCAAGUGUAGCGGUGAAAUGCGUAGAGAUUUGGAGGAACACCAGUGGCGAAGGCGACUUUCUGGUCUGUAACUGACGCUGAGGCGCGAAAGCGUGGGGAGCAAACAGG
rnacentral:rRNA from 1 species